UGCGAGAAUCCACUAAGCCUCCGGUGUACCUGAAUCUGCACACAAGGUGCAGGGAGUAGGGGUGAGUACUACCGNNNNNNNNNNNNNNNNNNNNNNNNNNNNNNNNNNNNNNNNNNNNNNNNNNNNNNNNNNNNNNNNNCGACUCAGUGAAUAAUAAGUAUAGAAAAUGACUGAAAGCAGGAAAUCCACAAAGUACCACAACGCAAAGCUAUAACUAACAAUCCUAUAACUUCGGUACAGGCUAACGACAUAAUAGUAUCACAACAACAACCAAGCAUUAGAUAAAGAUGCAAUGCAAUGCACAUGAUUUCACCGCGGAACGUGCAGCUCGAUCCAUUUAACGUCGACGGAGCUCACUGGGGUGUGUACAGACUCCGGAGUAGCUCUUUAAGCCCAAGCGCAAAUAUCAAUAUAUAUCCGCUGCGGAUCGUGCAGCCCGACCCAUGCUCAGUCCAUAAUAUGCAUAUGAGUCACUAAACAGAUUCAAUCUAGUUUCCCUUUUUUCGAUUAUUAAGGUGAAUAUAAUUUGAUUAUUUAAUUUCAGGAAAAGUGACUUAGCAUUUCAAUUUCAGUGUUUAAUCACAGAAUUGAUCAAUGAUUAUGAAAUCAUGUCAUAACACAGAUAUUCACCCUAGACGGGUACUACAGAUCGGCACAAGGCCCCAAGCAUGGCAUUAAACCCAAUUAUCAAAGACACAAUGUGCGUAUCAGACGCCAAUAAUUUAUCUAGCUCACGGGAUGGACCAUGUCACAAAUUCCCAAUCAUAUACAACCCCGCACCUGCCAUGGGGUGCGAGUCACGCCCUAAAAUAGCGUCACGAUGUGAUAAGCCGGGGUUUCAAACCCUCAAGCCAUCAUCUAUACAAACUACUCACCUCAAACUGGUCGUAGCCUGGUCUGCAAUGCCCUUUCUCUUCGAAUCUUCUCCACGGGCGUCAAAUCUAUUCAAAACCACAACGAAUAGGUUAUUAUAGGCUAAAUAAACAUAACCCAAUUGGAAUUAUUCGAAAAACAUUAAAAAUCGCGAAGUUGGUAAAACCCGAGCCACGUUCCCACUUCUUGAAAAAUUUAGAAAGUCAUAUUUUUGGAUUCUUCGUCUCGCCACGAGUUCAUACAUAUAAGGUUUAUCAAAAACGGAGUUCGUUUACCCUCUCAAAUCACCAUUUUACUCUCUCUUAGGCUUCAAGCCCUAAUCACCAUUUUUGACCUUAAUCCCCAAGUCCAAAAGUGUUUUCUUAAGUUAUAAAAUUUGUAACACUGUUUUAUUAAUGCCCUGGGAUUUUCGCUUCCGCGAUACAAUGCCCUGGGUCAAUAGACCGCUUUUGCGGUCUCCCUUGUGUUGACUAGGACCGCUUCUGCGGUCCUUAAUCGCUUUCACGGUCUCCGCCUACGUGUCGAAUUGGCCAUUUCUAGUGUCGCCCAGCUGGCCCAAGACCGCUACUGCGGUUGAUUUACCGCGUCUGCGGUAGCCGCUUUCACGGAAAUUCUUCCACUUCUGCAGAAAUACCAGAAGCUUGGCCAACAGAUCUGCUGCAUUUCCAAAAAUCCUCGCUUUCAUCAUCCGAUUUCACCCUGAUGCCCUCGGGCCCCCAACCAAAUGGAUAAAUAUGUCCCGUUACCUUAUCCAAACUUUCUUGCAACAUAAAAACGCUAUCAUAAACAUCAAAAUCAUCCAAUUUCCACGGAUUCAAGCCUAAGCUAAACUAAAACUUUCAAAACUUGCAUUUGCUCCAAAAACCCGACCAAAACAACUCCAAAUGAUCUAACAAUUUGCACACAUAUCAAAAAUCACCUAACGGAGCUACUGCAACCGUUUGAAUUUGAUUCCGAUUCCCGGAUCAAAAUAUCACCUAUCAACCGGACUUCGCCAAAUUUCUAACUUAGCCAAUUAAAGCCUAAUUCUACACCGGACCUCCAAAUUUAGUUCUGCUUUCGCUCCUAAAUCACAAAUCACCGUCCAAAACUAGUCAAACCAUCGAAAAUCCAUUCCGAGUCCUCUAACUGAUAAGUCAAUGUUCGGUUGACUUUUCAAAACUAACUUCCUCUAAAAGAGACUAAUUGUCUCAUUUCUAUCCAAACUCCAUCCGAAUUACUCCAAACUCUCCAAAUAUACAUAUUGAAACAUAUAACAGCAUAAAAAGGGGAAAAUGGGGCAGAAAUACAUGGGACGACAGGUCAGGUCGUUACAAGUUAAUAUUGUCACACCUCCUUUUUCACUACACCCGCAAGGGCGUAAAGGAGUUUUUUCAAUUAAAGGAUAAUCGAAACAUGAUUUAUCAUUGUUAUUCAGAAUCGCCACUUGGGAGAUUAAUGAUGUCCCAAGUCAUCGGUCGCAUCCCGAACCGAGGAAACAUAUGACUCUGUUAACAGUCCGCGAACCAGAAAUCCAAUUAAGGAAUUCUGUUAACCCGGGAGAAGGUGUUAGGCAUUCCCGGGUUCUGUGGUUCUAGCACGGUCGCUUAACUGUCAUGUUUGAUUUUAUUUGAUUUCAAAACAUGUUCUAGCUUAUGCGCUUUUUAAUUGUAAAUCGCUUUAUAAUAUUGUCAAAUGCAUCUCGAACCAGUCACAUCAAUGCACCCGUGGUGGUUGACACAUUUCGACUCCGUUGAGAUUGUGAUUUGGGUCACAUAAAUGUACACCCUAGUUUAGGAAUAUAAUAUUAUUAAAAGCGCAUCAAAAGUGUUUAAUGCGUUAUUAUCUUUGGGAAGGUCAUGAAAUUCGCUAAACGUUCCAUCCCGAAUUCUAAGUAUUUUUAAUUAAGCAUUGAAUGAGGGCCCCGCAAUUUGCAUUUUACUUGGCGAGGCUCGUCUCAUUAUUAAGGCCAAUCCUAAAGUGACUAUGAUUUUUCUAUUUAUUUUGUCUCUAAAAUAAAGAGAUGGUCCUACUUAGUUAAUAUAUUUUAGAGGGCUAAGCACUUAUGAUUCAAAUUUAGAUUGAUCCAACCCAGUAAGCAUUUAUAAAGGACUGAGCAGCUUGGGCCUAUUGAUGCGGAACUCAACUGCUGCGGAACCCAACUGCUGCGGAACCAAAGCCCAACGCAUGAUCCAAUUUAAAAGGCAGUUGUAGGACGCGACUCGAAGAUCGAUUCCUGGCGGAAGCACUAAGACAUUCACAAAUGAAUUUGAACAAACCAAUUAAUCCCAAGGCACAAAAUUUGAAGGUCACCUUUUGCACUUACCACUAAUUUUACAGUAAAUCUUUGUUUCACGCAAACCGAGGCAUGGGUGACAAAUUUACUUAUUUAAUUUUACUAGUGAGUUCCCAAUACUAUAGAAUGUGAUAGCCAAAUUAGAGAUAGGAGUUUGAUUUUUACGACAGUGACAACAGCCUGAGUAACGACUCAGAUUCAGAACCGAGCAACUAUGUUAAGAUUAGUUCCAAUCAACACUAUUCAAUUAAUACUGGAUCACUGAAACUGAUAUACUGAAAUGUGAACCUAUUUCUAUAACUGCUAAAAAUGAACUAAACUACAUUAUAUUACACUACACUACGCUAAUAACACAAGUUAAACCGAAUUACGAUUACUGACUACUGGUUCACAUGCUCAUAAAAUCAAUUCACCAUUCAUGAGUUAAGAGUGGUCAUCAAACAAUCUAGUUACUUCAAAGCUAGUUUUCAGUCCAUUACACAUUAUCAUUCAAAACAGUCUACCACAAAAGGUCUAAAACAAUGAGUUGAAUUAACUAGCUGUGAGGCAAUUAACUAAUGAAACAAUAAGGGCUCAGUGAAGAUCAAGCAACCAUUGCACUUCCAUUCCCUGGGAGAUAUUACAGCAAAACAAGUUCAAAUGUGUACCUGGGAUUGGAAAUGAAUAGGAAGAAGGAGAAAUUAGCAACGGCAGCUCAACAAUAGUGAUCGAAGUUUCAAACAGCAGUCAAACAUGAUCGAGUUCAACCUAGAAAUAACUCAGGAAUCAAGAACUAGUUUUAAAACCAAAGAGAUUAGUGUUGCAAACCAAUCACAUCAACAGAAUGCACACAAUGAACCCGAUAUCAACUUAAACUUUCAACAACCCAAAAAAUCCACCAAAACCAGUUUGAUUAAGCCUACAACCACUUGAAAUCACCUAGAAACUUCUGGAAUUCCAGCAAACAAAUGUGGAACUGGAAAAUGUAACCCAAUAGCUAAAAAAUUUAAAACUAUUCAAUAGAACAGUACAUUUUUUUUGAGUUUUCUGUUUUUUUUUUAUUUUUGGUUUUUUAGUAUUGAGUUUCAAGUUUCGGAUCUAGAAUUGAGAGAAUUUUUUGGGGGGAAAUUUUAGGGGCUCCAAACUUGUGUGUUAAGGCACUAUUCAUUGCCUUUUAUAGGUAAAAUGAGGGCAACCCUCAGAUUUUAUGUUUACACUAUCAGUCCUUGCUUAUUUUCAGCUUUGGUCCUUUAUUUUCUAACUUGUUCCUCAAGCCGGUCCUUUAACUUGUAAAAAUAUGCACUAAAGUCCUAUUCUAGAAGAAUAUAAGCUAUUCUAGUGUGAUAUAAAACAUUCUUUCUAUCUAGGAGUUACCUAAAUACCCCUGAAUAUUCCCUAAAAUUUAUUAACUAAGUCACAAUUAACCCACCCUUUUUCCCUGAUUAAAGCUACUAGUUACAAACCAAUUCACCUAAAUUUAAACUAAUUGGACAAUUAACUAAGUAAAGAAACAAAUUGCAUUACACAUUCAGGAUUAACUAACUAAUACAAGCUUAAACCUAUUAAAAUCAUAUAUGAAGUACUGCCGUGAAGAACCAAUCAGCCUUACUUAAUUAAACUUAAAAUAUGGAAUUAUUAAUAUAAUUGCUAAUCAAACUGAUUUAAACAAACUCAUUAACACUAAAUCAUAAGGAAUCAGAUUCAAACAAGGCACAAACCAUCAUAACAGAUUGACAAUGAAUUACACAAUUAUCAGAUUAAAACCAAAAAUUAAAAUGAAUUAAAAUCUAAACGGGAUGAACAAACAAAUGAAAUCGAGCAUAAAAUCAUAACAACAAUCAAAACAUGACUGAUACAACCAAAAAAAGAAUUAACACAACUAAAAAAAUCAAUCUAACACAUAAAACUGAAUAAUAUUGACUAACAAUUAACAAACUAGAAAUCACGAGAACGAAGAGAAGAAACAAUAGAAUUGAAAGAGAAAACUUACUAAUUUCAGAAUCCUUAUGGCCAACUAUCUAAAUUAAUUUUUGAUUAAUGCUAUUUGUCAAUUUCGUCAGAAAAUAGGCAUAUAACAUCAAAUAAAAAAUCAACUGACUCUGAAACGCCUCACAAUAGACCCGACUUCAUAAAUCUUAGAUUUGAAAUUCAACGAGUUCCGAUAGGGUUUCAGGGGUUUUGGUUAGGGAUUAGGGAUAAGGGAGGUAAGAUGAGUGUAGGGUAUGAAUUUGGGGCCAUUUGGACAAGGUAAGCUUUUGUCCAAAAAGUUUAGAUUCAAUAUUCGAGCCAUUUGGCCAGGAUUUGAGAGAAACGGGUGGUUGAUUCGUAAAAGGAAGGAGAAGGAUAACCAUGGGUGUAAUUUUGGUGGCGCUUGGAGGUUCUCCGCCGUCGUGGGCGAUUUCCAGCGGCGGAGGUAGGGCGAAGGAGUGCCGGAGGUGUGGUGGGGCGAUGGUGGCGUUAUAGGGAAGGGUUGGUAUGAGGAAGGGGAAUUAUGUUUUAGGGUUUAAGGAUAUUUUUAGACAGUUUUGUUAAUUGGCUAAAUUAGAUCUAGGUAGUU
rnacentral:lncRNA from 1 species